rnacentral:rRNA from 1 species
UACGUAGGGUGCGAGCGUUAAUCGGAAUUACUGGGCGUAAAGCGUGCGCAGGCGGUUUUGUAAGCCAGAUGUGAAAUCCCCGGGUUUAACCUGGGAAUGGCAUUUGGGACUGCAAGGCUCGAGUGCGGCAGAGGAGACUGGAAUUCCUGGUGUAGCAGUGAAAUGCGUAGAUAUCAGGAGGAACACCGAUGGCGAAGGCAGGUCUCUGGGCUGACACUGACGCUCAUGCACGAAAGCGUGGGGAGCAAACAGG